GAUGAACGCUAGCGGCAGGCCUAACACAUGCAAGUCGAGGGAGGAGCUUUCGGGCUUCGACCGGCGUACGGGUGCGUAACGCGUAUACAAUCUGCCUUUCACAUAGGGAUAGCCCGAAGAAAUUUGGAUUAAUACCUAAUGGUAUAUAGGAGUGGCAUCACAUUUAUAUUAAAGCUGAGGCGGUGAAAGAUGAGUAUGCGUUCUAUUAGCUAGUUGGAGAGGUAACGGCUCCCCAAGGCGACGAUAGAUAGGGGUUCUGAGAGGGAUAUCCCCCACACUGGUACUGAGAUACGGACCAGACUCCUACGGGAGGCAGCAGUGAGGAAUAUUGGACAAUGGUCGGAAGACUGAUCCAGCCAUGCCGCGUGCAGGAAGACGGCCUUAUGGGUUGUAAACUGCUUUUGCAGGGGAAGAAUAAGGACUACGAGUAGUUUGAUGACGGUACUCUGCGAAUAAGCAUCGGCUAACUCCGUGCCAGCAGCCGCGGUAAUACGGAGGAUGCGAGCGUUAUCCGGAAUCAUUGGGUUUAAAGGGUCCGUAGGCGGGCUAAUAAGUCAGAGGUGAAAGCGCUCAGCUCAACUGAGCAACUGCCUUUGAAACUGUUAGUCUUGAAUGGUUGUGAAGUAGUUGGAAUGUGUAGUGUAGCGGUGAAAUGCUUAGAUAUUACACAGAACACCGAUAGCGAAGGCAUAUUACUAACAAUUAAUUGACGCUGAUGGACGAAAGCGUGGGGGAGCGAACAGG
rnacentral:rRNA from 1 species